UGACAAGUGCACACAGAUCCUAGAGA
rnacentral:piRNA from 1 species